UUGGUCUGAGUGUCUAUCACUCACCUAGAGAAACCGCCCUGGAGGGUGUCGGUCCUCCAGGGAGCGCCAGCCAGCCUGCACUGCACACUGCUCUGCUCCCAGCUCAGGCCUGGGGAGUAGGUCUCUAGGGGGAGCCUAGAGCCGUAGAGCUGUAUGGUAGAUGGUGCCCUGGGUGUAGACACGUGUGGUAGAUUGCUGGUUUCACCAUGGUGUCUGGGGUGUAGACACGUGUGGUAGAUUGCUGGUUUCACCGUGGUGUCCUGGGUGUAGACACGUGUGGUAGAUUGCUGGUUUCACCAUGGUGUCCGGGGUGUAGACAAGUGUGGUAGAUUGCUGGUUUCACCAUGGUGCCCUGGGUGUAGACACAUGUGGUAGAUUGCUGGUUUCACCGUGGUGUCCUGGGUGUAGACACAUGUGGUAGAUUGCUGGUUUCACCAUGGUGUCCCGGGUGUAGACACGUGUGGUAGAUUGCUGGUUUCACCAUGGUGUCCCGGGUGUAGACACGUGUGGUAGAUUGCUGGUUUCACCAUGGUGUCCUGGGUGUAGACAUGUGUGGUAGAUUGCUGGUUUCACCAUGGUGUCCCGGGUGUAGACAGGUGUGGUAGAUUGCUGGUUUCACCGUGGUGUCCUGGGUGUAGACAGGUGUGGUAGAUUGCUGGUUUCACCAUGGUGUCCCGGGUGUAGACACGUGUGGUAGAUUGCUGGUUUCACCAUGGUGUCCCGGGUGUAGACAGGUGUAAUCUGAUUUCACUCGUGAUUGGGCCAGCAUUGUGACGCAGCAGGGUAAGCUGCCUCUUGCGAUGCCCGCAUCCCCUAUCAGAGUCAGGGUUAGAGUCCCAGCCACUGUUCCUGUCCGGCUUCCUGCAGAUACGCCCGGGACGGCAGCGGAGAAUGGCUCAAGUUCUUGUACCCUUGCCACCCGUGUGGGAGAUGGGUGGAGCUCUGACUGCUGGUUUCAGCCUGUGCCAGCCCUGGCCGUGGCCAGCAUCUGGGGAGUGAACCAGAGAUGGAAGAUCUGUCUGUCUGUCUAUCAGUCUCCCUCCCUCCCUCCCUCCCUCCCUCCCUCCCUCCCUCCCUCCCCGCCUUUUAAAUGAAUGAAUCUUUAAGAGAAAAAGCAGCACAGCACUGGUAAAUACAGCAUCAAAAGCAAGACCCCGACCCGGCAUGUCGCGUGUGGACACCCAGAGCUGGCGAAUCAGCGGAGAAAGGCCGUAGUGUGUAGCAGGACUCCUUGCGGGCAGCGUCACCCAACCCCCCCCCCCCCCCCCCCCCGCCGGGCCAGAAUCAGAUGCACUCCAAGUGUAUGGCGUAUGCCUUAUGUGCAGCUCUGGGCAGCACGAACGUGUGGGGAAGCCAGGUGGGGGCAGGGGCAGGGUCCCUGGUCCUGGUGGUGGCCAUGACGCUGCUCAGUGUCUGGUCAGGAUGGACCGCGCCUACAGGGUGCCCGGAGCCCCAGCACUGGCCCCGUGCACUGGCAGCUGUCCACCAGGCACAGAGCUCCAGCGUGACAGUCCAAGCCACCGGUGCUUCCCAGUCUGGUAGGGAGUUCUGCACGGCGCACCUUGGGGAAGGCAGACUCCCUGAGUGACGGCAUCAUGGGUCUCUCCCGGCCCACCUGUAGCCGAGGGGCACUUCGCGUCUUUUCGAAGCCCCAUCCAUGGUUUUGGGGGAAGUAACUGAAAGCCGGGACUGCUUGUCUCUAUCCUGACCCCUCCUGUGUCUGAUGUCCAGCUGCAGAGUCAGGGUCUCUGAGAGGCCCAAUGCCCCCCCCCACACACUCUGCUGGCCUCUGCAGGUCUUGGACAGGGCCUGGAAGCUCCACCCAGCACGGCCAAGGCAUGGAGUUGAAGGAGAGAGGCCACACUCUGGGUUUUGGCAAAGCACUUGAAGGACUUUCGGCCUGGCCCUUGGGGUCCCCAACACUGCUGCUGUGCCGGUGCACACACUCCUGUGUGUGCGAACACUCCUGUGUGUGCAAACACUCUUGUGUGUGAGCACUCCUGUGUGCAAACAGUCGUGUGUGUGAGCACUCCUGUGUGAGCACUCCUGUGUGCGAGCACUCCUGUGUGUGCGAGUACUCCUGUGUGUGCAAACACUCCUGUGUGUGAGCACUCCUGUGUGCAAACACUCCUGUGUGUGAGCACUCCUGUGUGCGAGCACUCCUGUGUGUGUGAGCAUUCCUGUGUGUGCAAACACUCCUGUGUGUGAGCACUCCUGUGUGCGAGCACUCCUGUGUGUGCGAGUACUCCUGUGUGUGCAAACACUCCUGUGUGUGAGCACUCCUGUGUGCAAACACUCCUGUGUGUGAGCACUCCUGUGUGCGAGCACUCCUGUGUGUGUGAGCAUUCCUGUGUGUGCAAACACUCCUGUGUGUGAGCACUCCUGUGUGCAAGCACUCCUAUGUGUGCAAACACUCCUGUGUGUGGAAGCACUCCUGUGUGCAAGCACUCCUAUGUGUGCAAACACUCCUGUGUGUGGAAGCACUCCUGUGUGCAAACACUCCUGUGUGUGAGCACUCCUGUGUGUGCGAGCACUCCUGCGUGUGAGCACUCCUGUGUGUACACCCCUGUGCAUGGGCAAACACUCCUGUGUGCAAGCACUCCUGUGUGCGAGCACUCCUGUGUGUGUGAGCAUUCCUGUGUGUGCAAACACUCCUGUGUGUGAGCACUCCUGUGUGCAAGCACUCCUAUGUGUGCAAACACUGCUGUGUGUGGAAGCACUCCUGUGUGCAAACACUCCUGUGUGUGAGCACUCCUGUGUGUGCGAGCACUCCUGCGUGUGAGCACUCCUGUGUGUACACCCCUGUGCAUGGGCAAACACUCCUGUGUGCAAACACUCCUGUGUGCAAACACUCCUGUGUGCGAGCACUCCUGUGUGUGCAAAGACUCCUGUGUGCGAGCACUCCUGUGUGUGCAAUCACUCCUGUGUGCGAGCACUCCUGUGUGUGAGCACUUGUGUGUGUGCGAGCACUCCUGUGUGCAAACACUCCUGUGUGUGAGCACUCCUGUAUGUGCAGUCACUCCUGUGCGAGCACUCCUGUGUGCGAGCACUCCUGUGUGUGCUAUCACUCCUGUGUGUGAGCACUCCUGUGUAUGAGUACUCCUGUGUGUGAGCACUCCUGUGUGUGCAAGCACUCCUGUGUGCAAACACUCCUGUGCAUGCAUACACUCCUGUGCAUGAGCACUCCUAUGUGCAAGCACUCCUGUGUGUGCGAGCACUCCUGUGUCCAAACACUCCUGUGUCCAAACACUCCUGUGUGUGAGCACUCCUGUGUGUGCGAGCACUCCUGUGUGUGAGCACUCCUGUGUGCAAACACUCCUGUGUGCGAGCACUCCUGCGUGCAAACACUCCUGCGUGCGAGCACUCCUGUGUGUGAGCACUCCUGUGUGUGCAAACACUCCUGUGUGUGAGCACUCCUCUUUGCAAACACUCCUGUGUGUGCAAACACUCCUGUGUAUGAGCACUCCUGUGUGUGAGCACUCCUGUGUGUGCAAGCACUCCUGCGCUGUGUGAACACUAACAUUCCUCUGCACUUGCAAACACUCCUUGUGUGUACACUCCUGUGCAUGGGUAAAUACUCGUGUCUGUGCAAACACUCCUGCGAACACUUUGUGUGUACGCUUGUGUGUGUGCAAACAUUCUUACUGUGUGAGAACACUCCUGUGCAUAGGCAAACACUCUGUGCGUGUGGACACUCCUGUGUGUGCACUCCUGUGUGCAAACAUUCCUAUGUGUGCGAACACUCCUACAUGUGCAAACACUCCUCUGUAUGAACAGUUCUAUGCUUGCCAGUGCCCCUGCUCAGAGUAUACAAAUUUUUGUUUUUGUGCAUACAAUCCUGUGUGGGAACACUCCUCUGUGUGAAUACUCCUGUGUGCUCACCAGUGCUUAUGUGUCUGCAAACACUUCUGCGCCUGUGUGAACACUUGCACUAUGCUUGUGGACACAAUCGUGUGCAUGAACACUGUGUGCAAACACUCCUGUGUAUGUGUGAACUCUCCUUGGUGUGUGCAAACACUCUUCUGUGUGAGCACUCCUGUGUGCUCACCAACAUUCCUGUGAGUGUGCAAACUCCUGUGAGUGUGCAUUGGCUGGCGCCGCGGCUCACUAGGCUCAUCCUCCGCCUGCAGCGCCGGCACACCGGGUUCUAGUCCCGGUCGGGGCGCUGGGUUCUGUCCCGGUUGCUCCUCUUCCAGUAUAGCUCUCUGCUGUGGCCAGGGAGUGCAGUGGAGGAUGGCCCAAGUGCUUGGGCCCUGCACCCCAUGGGAGACCAGGAGAAGCACCUGGCUCCUGGCUUUGGAUCAGUGCGGUGCGCAGGCCGUAGCAGCCAUUUGGGGGAUGAACCAACGGAAGGAAGACCUCUCUCUCUGUCUCUCUCUCUGUCUCUCUCUCUCUCUAACUCUGCCUGUCAAAACACACACACACACACACACCUGUGCAUGUGCACACAAUCCUGUGUGUGAAUACGUGUGUGUGUGUGUGUGUGGAGCAGGUUAAGAGCUGUGGCUUGGUUUCAGGGAGACAGCAGAAGGGAACUUCCUUCCACAUCCGGGAAGGAAAGACCCCUGGGAGGCCCCUGCUGGGGCGGCGCUGGUCUCAGGGAAGGGAAGUGGGGUCAGCGGAAUCCCAGGGCAGCAAGGGAGGGCAGGCGCGCAGGUGCUGCUUGGUUCUUUGUUUUUAAACAAUGGCUCAGGAUGUGUGGAAGUGCCAUGUCGUCUGUAAAACAAGUUCACACCACGAUUUUGGAGAGAGUGUGUGCUAAUGUGUGUUUGCUCUCUUGAGGAAAAAGUCUUUUAUGUCUACUUGGAAAAAAGACUAGUUAAGGAAAGACUACUAGUAAAGACCACUGGUUAGCCCUGAAGGCCCCCAAGGCUGUACUCAGCAGAUUCCCUUUUGUGGAGUCAGGGGCUGGCGCUGGCAGGGAUGCCCGUCGGUUAUUGGACGUUCCCAGUCCGUCCUGCGGGAGUGCGGUUACUGCCACUGGGCACAGUCGGUGGAGGAAGGAAGGACGCCCUGCGUGGCGACUCCCAGCGUGGCCGCCCAGCGUGAGCAGGGAGGACACGGCCCCCGGCACAGCCCCCGGCCCUACACGGGAUUCUGCCGCAGCACCUGGAGUUCAUCGCCGGGGGCCCCCAGCACAGCCCCCAGCCCUACACGGGAUUCUGCCGCAGCGCCUGGAGUUCAUGUGAUUUCCAGCGUCUCCCUCGGCAGGGGAGGCUGCAAAAUCAAACGUCAGCCUCGUCCACGCUGGCACCACGCCACACCCUCAAGAAAGACAAAGGACUUGUUUUGUCUAAGAUCUUAUUUAUUUGAGAGGUAGAGUUACAAAGCGAGGGGGGCAGAGAGACAGAGACAGAGAGAGGGAGAGAGAGGGAGGGAGGGAGGGAGGGAGGGAGGGAGGGAGGUCUUCCAUCCGCUGGCUCACUCCCCAAGUGGCUGCAGUGAGCAGAGCUGAGCCGAUCUGAAGCCAGGAGCCAGGAGGACUUGAGCCAUCUUCUGCUGCUUUCUCUGGUGCAUUAGCGGAGAGCUGGAUCAGAAGAGGAGCAACCGGGACAUGAACCGGUGCCCGCGUGGGAUGCUGGUGCUGCUGGCGGAGGCUUAGCCCGCUACACCACAGCACUGGCCCCACAAGUGACUUCUUCAAAGUUGCUGUGAUUAUUUUUUUGAGAGGCAGGCAGAGACUUUCAAUCUGCUAUUCACUCUGCAAAUGUCUGCAACAGCUGGGGCUGGGCCACGCUGAAGCCAGGAGCCAGACUUCCAUCCAGGUUUCCCGUGAGUGACAGUUACCUCAGUAUUUGUACUGUCACAUGCUGCCCCCCGCCCCGGCCGGGUGCAUAUAGCAGGAGGCUGGAGUUGGGAGCAAAGCGAGGACUUGAGCCCAGGCACGCUGACAUGGGUGUGGCUGUCACAGCAGUGUCUUCAGCACUGUGCCACGCACCCCAGAGUUAGUUUUGAUUCUUGGGAGUGGAAGGCUGUUUCACUGCCGAGUGCCGUGUCAUCUGCACUCUGAACCCCACCGUCGCUUUUUCUCAUGGGCCCCACCUGUCACGAAGGAGCUGCGGCUCGGACACAGGAGCGUGCCCGCGACAGCACAGGCAGGAACGCUGGUCCCAGCACGAGGUCUGCACGAGCCGAAGGCCCUCCUCUGCAGCCGGCGCCGCCGCUGUCACCACCCCGUGAAGCUGGCUCAGCGCCUAACAGCAGGAAUCCAGCGUGUUGGCCUGAUUCCCUGCUUCUCACUUCAUAAAUGAGGGACAACUCCCCUGAGUCGAUGGAGUCCCACGCAGGUCAGCGUCCAGGUGGCAGCCAGGGUCCAGGACGGUCACGAGCGUCCCCGUGGGGCCGGAUCUGUUGUUGAGUAAGGAAGCUGUGGCUUCAGGGCGGUCAGGUGCCAUUGGAAAGAAGGGCACCCAGGUUUCACUCGCGGUUUGUCUGGGGCCACAAGACCCACGGCCCCAGGUGAACCUGGCAGAGGUCUGUGAGCCCCAGCUACCAUAACAGGUUAGGAGCCCGCCAGGGGAGGCAUAGGAGGCGGUGAGGCAUCUCACCCCGGUCAGAAACACGGAGGAUGCCCACGGGCCGGCCUGAGCAUUCUAUAAGGUAAAGAAUCCAGGAAGUUGCGAUUCUCACGUAAGUCAGCCAUCCUCAGAGUCCUGGAGAGAGCGGGCGUUCUGCUGGGUUCCCACGUGCAGACCGCAGAAAAUGCACUUCAUUCAAGGCUCGGGCGUUGAUGCCCUGUAUCCAGGAUCAGGCGUCUCUGCUAACUGCAGAUAAAGGGAUUGGAACCUGAGUGAGGUCCAUGUGCGCUGUGUCAGGGAGCUGGAUCCUGGGUGAGGUGAGUGUGCACUGUGUCAGGGAGCUGGAUCCUGGGUGAGGUGAGUGUGCACUGUGUCAGGGAGCUGGAUCCUGGGUGAGGUGAGUGUGCGCUGUGUCAGGGAGCUGGAUCCUGGGUGAGGUGAGGUGAGUGUGCGCUGUGUCAGGGAGCUGGAUCCUGGGUGAGGUGAGGUGAGUGUGUGCUGUGUCAGGGAGCUGGAUCCUGGGUGAGGUGAGUGUGCACUGUGUCAGGGAGCUGGAUCCUGGGUGAGGUGAGUGUGUGCUGUGUCAGGGAGCUGGAUCCUGGGUGAGGUGAGUGUGUGCUGUGUCAGGGAGCUGGAUCCUGGGUGUGUGAGUGUGCACUGUGUCAGGGAGCUGGAUCCUGGGUGAGGUGAGGUGAGUGUGCACUGUGUCAGGGAACUGGAUCCUGGGUGAGGUGAGUGUGCGCUGUGUCAGGGAGCUGGAUCCUGGGUGAGGUGAGGUGAGUGUGCGCUGUGUCGGGAGCUGGAUCCUGGGUGAGGUGAGGUGAGUGUGUGCUGUGUCAGGGAGCUGGAUCCUGGGUGAGGUGAGUGUGCGCUGUGUCAGGGAGCUGGGUCCUGGGUGAGGUGAGUGUGCACUGUGUUGGGGAGCUGGAUCCUGGGUGAGGUGAGUGUGCGCUGUGUCAGGGAGCUGGGUCCUGGGUGAGGUGAGUGUGCGCUGUGUCAGGGAGCUGGAUCCUGGGUGAGGUGAGGUGAGUGUGCGCUGUGUCGGGAGCUGGAUCCUGGGUGAGGUGAGGUGAGUGUGCACUGUGUCAGGGAACUGGAUCCUGGGUGAGGUGAGUGUGCACUGUGUCAGGGAGCUGGAUCCUGGGUGAGGUGAGUGUGCGCUGUGUCAGGGAGCUGGAUCCUGGGUGAGGUGAGGUGAGUGUGUGCUGUGUCAGGGAGCUGGAUCCUGGGUGAGGUGAGUGUGUGCUGUGUCAGGGAGCUGGAUCCUGGGUGAGGUGAGUGUGUGCUGUGUCAGGGAGCUGGAUCCUGGGUGAGGUGCGUGUGCGCUGUGUCAGGGAGCUGGAUCCUGGGUGAGGUGCGUGUGCACUGUGUCAGGGAGCUGGAUCCUGGGUGAGGUGAGGUGAGGUGAGUGUGCGCUGUGUCAGGGAGCUGGAUCCUGGGUGAGGUGAGUGUGCGCUGUGUCAGGGAGCUGGAUCCUGGGUGAGGUGAGUGUGCGCUGUGUCAGGGAGCUGGAUCCUGGGUGAGGUGAGUGUGCGCUGUGUCAGGGAGCUGGAUCCUGGGUGAGGUGAGUGUGCGCUGUGUCAGGGAGCUGGAUCCUGGGUGAGGUGAGUGUGCGCUGUGUCAGGGAGCUGGAUCCUGGGUGAGGUGAGUGUGCACUGUGUCAGGGAGCUGGAUCCUGGGUGAGGUGAGUGUGCGCUGUGUCAGGGAGCUGGAUCCUGGGUGAGGUGAGGUGAGUGUGCACUGUGUCAGGGAGCUGGAUCCUGGGUGAGGUGAGGUGAGUGUGUGCUGUGUCAGGGAGCUGGAUCCUGGGUGAGGUGAGUGUGCACUGUGUCAGGGAGCUAGGUCCUGGGUGAGGUGAGUGUGUGCUGUGUCGGGGAGCUGGAUCCUGGGUGAGGUGAGUGUGCGCUGUGUCAGGGAGCUGGAUCCUGGGUGAGGUGAGGUGAGUGUGCGCUGUGUCAGGGAGCUGGAUCCUGGGUGAGGUGAGUGUGCACUGUGUCAGGGAGCUGGAUCCUGGGUGAGGUGAGUGUGCGCUGUGUCAGGGAGCUGGAUCCUGGGUGAGGUGAGUGUGCGCUGUGUCAGGGAGCUGGAUCCUGGGUGAGGUGAGUGUGCGCUGUGUCGGGAGCUGGAUCCUGGGUGAGGUGAGGUGAGUGUGCACUGUGUUGGGGAGCUGGAUCCUG